rnacentral:rRNA from 1 species
CCCUUAGAUGUUCUGGGCCGCACGCGCGCUACAAUGGCAAAGUCAGCGAGUCUCCUUUACCGAAAGGUAUAGGAAAUCUUUUCAGUCUUUGCCGUGAUGGGGCUAGACCCUUGUAAUUAUUGGUCUCCAACGAGGAAUUCCUAGUAAACGCAGGUCAUUAACCUGCAUUGAUUACGUCCCUGCCCUUUGUACACACCGCCCGUCGCACCUACCGAUUGAAUGGUCCGGUGAAGUCUCCGGAACGAGUACUUUCAGUACUUGUGAAGUUGACUAAACCUUNCNAUUUAGNGGAAGGUGAANUCGUANCA